rnacentral:rRNA from 1 species
GAUCCUGGCUCAGAAUCAACGCUGGCGGCGCGCCUAACACAUGCAAGUCGCACGAGAAAGGGGAGCAAUCCCUGAGUAAAGUGGCGCACGGGUGAGUAACACGUGAAUAAUCUACCUCCGAGUGGGGAAUAACUGAGAGAAAUCUUAGCUAAUACCGCAUAAUACCCACGGGUCAAAGCAGCAAUGCGCUUGGAGAGGAGUUCGCGGCCGAUUAGCUAGUUGGCGGGGUAAUGGCCCACCAAGGCGAUGAUCGGUAUCCGGCCUGAGAGGGCGCACGGACACACUGGAACUGAAACACGGUCCAGACUCCUACGGGAGGCAGCAG